UACGUAGGCAGCAAGCGUUGUUCGGAGUUACUGGGCGUAAAGGGUGCGUAGGCGGCUUUUUAAGUUUGGUGUGAAAUCUCCCGGCUCAACUGGGAGGGUGCGCCGAAUACUGAGAGGCUAGAGUGUGGGAGAGGAAAGUGGAAUUCCUGGUGUAGCGGUGAAAUGCGUAGAUAUCAAGAGGAACACCAGUGGCGAAGGCGAGUCCCUGGACAACACCUGACACUGAGGCACGAAAGCUAGGGGAGCAAACAGG
rnacentral:rRNA from 1 species